UAAAGGUAUGGUCCCAGCCUUCGUGUCAGCCCUAGCUCAAUUUACACAUGCAAGUAUCCGCACCCCAGUGAGUAUGCCCUCAAACCCCCGCCCGGGGACGAGGAGCGGGCAUCAGGAACAAACUUUAGCCCAAGACGCCUGGCCAAGCCACACCCCCAAGGGAAUUCAGCAGUGAUAAACAUUAAGCCAUAAGUGAAAACUUGACUUAGUUAAAGCUAAGAGAGCCGGUAAAACUCGUGCCAGCCACCGCGGUUAGACGAGAGGCCCCAGUUGACAUUAUAACGGCGUAAAGGGUGGUUAGGGGUAUAAAACCAAUAAAGCCAAAUGGUCCCUUGGCCGUCAUACGCUACUAGGCAUCCGAAGCCCCACCACACGAAAGUAGCUUUAACACACUCCCCCCGACUCCACGAAAGCUAGGAAACAAACUGGGAUUAGAUACCCCACUAUGCCUAGCCAUAAACUUAGACAUCAAACUACAGCAAGAUGUUCGCCAGGGUACUACGAGCUCUAGCUUAAAACCCAAAGGACCUGACGGUGCCUCAGACCCACCUAGAGGAGCCUGUUCUAGAACCGAUGACCCCCGUUCAACCUCACCCCUUCUAGCCAUUUACAGCCUAUAUACCGCCGUCGUCAGCCUACCCUGUGAAGGAAAUAAAAGUAAGCAAAAUGAGUAUAACCCAAAACGUCAGGUCGAGGUGUAGCGCAUGAAGUGGGAAGAAAUGGGCUACAUUUUCUGCCCCAGAACAUAACGAACACGCACCAUGAAACAGUGCCUAAAGGAGGAUUUAGAAGUAAGGGAGAAAUAGAGUGUCCCCCUGAACCUGGCUCUGAGGCGCGUACACACCGCCCGUCACUCUCCCCGUAAAUUCACCAAAACAUAAUUAAUAAGAAAACAUCAAUAAGGGGAGGCAAGUCGUAACAUGGUAAGUGUACCGGAAGGUGCACUUGGACAAAACC
rnacentral:ncRNA from 1 species